CCUACGGGUGGCUGCAGUGGGGAAUAUUGGACAAUGGGGGGAACCCUGAUCCAGCCAUGCCGCGUGUGUGAAGAAGGCCCUCGGGUUGUAAAGCACUUUCAGUGAGGAAGAACGCCUGGUGGUUAAUACCCAUCAGGAAAGACAUCACUCACAGAAGAAGCACCGGCUAACUCCGUGCCAGCAGCCGCGGUAAUACGGAGGGUGCGAGCGUUAAUCGGAAUUACUGGGCGUAAAGCGCGCGUAGGUGGCUUGAUAAGCCGGUUGUGAAAGCCCCGGGCUCGACCUGGGAACGGCAUCCGGAACUGUCAAGCUAGAGUGCAGGAGAGGAAGGUAGAAUUCCCGGUGUAGCGGUGAAAUGCGUAGAGAUCGGGAGGAAUACCAGUGGCGAAGGCGGCCUUCUGGACUGACACUGACACUGAGGUGCGAAAGCGUGGGUAGCAAACAGGAUUAGAUACCCGAGUAGUC
rnacentral:rRNA from 1 species